rnacentral:rRNA from 1 species
UGAAGAUGGGGGAACGCCCCGAGAAUGUCGUUAAAUUUUGUAGGAUAAACCCUCGUGAGGGCAGCUGAAGACUGUAGAAUAAGCACGGCUAACCGCCAGCAGCCGCGGUAAUACGAGGGUGCGAGCGUUAUCCGGAUUUAUUGGGUUUAAAGGGUCCGUAGGCGGGCCUGUAAGUCAGUGGUGAAAUCUCAUAGCUUAACUAUGAAACUGCCAUUGAUACUGCAGGCCUUGAGUAAAUUUGAAGUGGCUGGAAUAAGUAGUGUAGCGGUGAAAUGCAUAGAUAUUACUUAGAACACCGAUUGCGAAGGCAGGUCACUAAGAUUUAACUGACGCUGAUGGACGAAAGCGUGGGGAGCGAACAGGAUUAGAUACCCUGGUAGUCCACGCCGUAAACGAUGCUAACUCGUUUUUGGAUCUUCGGGUUCAGAGACCAAGCGAAAGUGAUAAGUUAGCCACCUGGGGAGUACGUCCGCAAGGAUGAAACUCAAAGGAAUUGACGGGGGCCCGCACAAGCGGUGGAUUAUGUGGUUUAAUUCGAUGAUACGCGAGGAACCUUACCAAGACUUAAAUGGGAAUUGACAGAUUUAGAAAUAGAUCCUCCUUCGGGCAAUUUUCAAGGUGCUGCAUGGUUGUCGUCAGCUCGUGCCGUGAGGUGUUAGGUUAAGUCCUGCAACGAGCGCAACCCCUGCCAACAGUUGCCAUCAUUCAGUUGGGGACUCUGUUGGGACUGCCUACGCAAGUAGAGAGGAAGGUGGGGAUGACGUCAAAUCAUCACGGCCCUUACGUCUUGGGCCACACACGUAAUACAAUGGCCGGUACAGAGGGCAGCUACCUGGUGACAGGAUGCGAAUCUCGAAAGCCGGUCUCAGUUCGGAUUGGAGUCUGCAACUCGACUCUAUGAAGCUGGAAUCGCUAGUAAUCGCGCAUCAGCCAUGGCGCGGUGAAUACGUUCCCGGGCCUUGUACACACCGCCCGUAAUCACUAGUGAAUUC